rnacentral:rRNA from 1 species
GUGGGGAAUAUUGGACAAUGGGCGAAAGCCUGAUCCAGCCAUGCCGCGUGAGUGAUGAAGGCCCUAGGGUUGUAAAGCUCUUUUGUGCGGGAAGAUAAUGACGGUACCGCAAGAAUAAGCCCCGGCUAACUUCGUGCCAGCAGCCGCGGUAAUACGAAGGGGGCUAGCGUUGCUCGGAAUCACUGGGCGUAAAGGGUGCGUAGGCGGGUUUCUAAGUCAGAGGUGAAAGCCUGGAGCUCAACUCCAGAGCUGCCUUUGAUACUGGAAGUCUUGAGUUCGGGAGAGGUGAGUGGAACUGCGAGUGUAGAGGUGAAAUUCGUAGAUAUUCGCAAGAACACCAGUGGCGAAGGCGGCUCACUGGCCCGAUACUGACGCUGAGGCACGAAAGCGUGGGGAGCAAACA